AGGUUAGCACUGCCCUUGAGAAGGAUGGAAGAGGUCCUAGUGGCCUUUACAACACACAUAUGGUUAAGGCAUUGCCACCUACUUCAUGGCAUCUAACCAAGUUUUACA
rnacentral:ncRNA from 1 species